AUUGAACGCUGGCGGCAGGCCUAACACAUGCAAGUCGAACGAGUGGCGGACGGGUGAGUAAUGCUUGGGAAUCUCGCUUAUGGAGGGGGAUAACUACGGGAAACUGUAGCUAAUACCGCGUACCAUAGGAUGACCCCAAGUGGGAUUAGGUAGUUGGUGGGGGAAAGGCUCACCAAGCCGACGAUCUCUAGCUGGUCUGAGAGGAUGCACAGCCAAACUGUGACUGAGACACGGCCCAGACUCCUACGGGAGGAAGCAGUGGGGAAUAUUGCGCAAUGGGGGCAACCUGACGCAGCCAUGCCGCGUGAAUGAAGAAGGCCUUCGGGUUGUAAAGGACUUUUGUCAGGGAAGCGGUACCUGAAGAAGAAGCACCGGCUAACUACGUGCCAGCAGCCGCGGUAAUAC
rnacentral:rRNA from 1 species